rnacentral:snRNA from 1 species
AGAAGCAAGGGUGAUCUGGCUGUGACAUCUGUCACCGCAUUGAUCAGUAGGGUUGAUCUCGUUGGCUAGGUAGGUGUCCCCUUCCUCUGUCACCACUCCACAUAUGUCCCUCCAGAAGCUGCAUGCUCCACUGAAGAGGAUAACUGUCCUGAUAGAAGAGAAUCUUUUCCUCAGACAAGAGUAUAGGCAUAGCUGUGCUACCCUGCUAGGGCCUCCAAAGAAGCUCUCAAGAAAGAUGGUUAAUGAAUAAAAACAAGAAUUAAAAAAUACAGAUUCUCCUUAUUAUUAAGGG